CUGAAGCCAUAGUGAAAAUGUGUUACAGGAUAAUUAUUCAUCAAAGUUAUAUAUGCAACUAUUCAAGUCAAUCACUGCUGCCACCACUGCAGGAUUUUAUUACUUCCAGAAAUGUUUAACACCAUGAAUAAAAGAAUUCGUCAACAACAAAUUAUAGUUAACCAGUUACCAGCUCUCUUUUUCUCACCAUGGAGGAAGCUAGUGCCCACUCCACCAAUAAGUGACUCAAGAAAUCAAGUGUUUUGAAGGCCAUUGAUACUGAAUGGUGGUAUAUGAAGACAACAGCUCACAAUUAAACGAUGAACAGGAUGUUUUCAUCUGGACAUAUUUUUUCUUUUUUAAAGAUGAAAAUCUAGCAGGAACUCUGGAUGCCACUUUGACUUUUUGAGGCAAGUUGCUGUCAUUCUUUAGACAAAUUGUUUUCUGAAAGUUAAACAUUAUGGUGGAGAAACAUUAAAUAACAAUUGCAAAUAACAAGUGAUCUUAUCAAAAAAUGGAGAAUGUCGAUUAAGAUGAACAUGAAGCAAGUAAUACAUAAAUCCACUUAAAAGAAAGAUGGCCUGACAGGUUAACUCCUGGCAACACCCAGCCUACCUCAAGAAGAUGAUGAGCAUCAAAGAACCUCCUUAUGGAGAUGACUUCAAAUUCAGCAAACCAGCCACUGGGCAAAAUGUCCUUGUUUCUGCCACAGA